AUUAAAAAAGCUAAAUUAGCAAUUAAGUUUCGGCCUUAAUGAUGGGGAUACCUUUUAAUA
rnacentral:tRNA from 1 species